CGUUAUCAACCCUUGCUAUCUUCCCGAGUUUCUCCUUGUGGUUUGUUUUCUGUUUUGCCUCUGGAACUUGUGCUUUUGGAUAACCAGCCUGUACUCUGCCUGCCUGCCUUCUGACGAAAUGUUCACUUGCCACUGAAUGUCUCCCACCCGCUAACUGGUGCCAAGAAGAGAUUUUCACGUCACCUCUCAGUGGAAAAAACCCAGAAGACACCCGAUGACCACAGCCAACACGGACAGGAUGAGGAGCCCAUUCUGUUUGAGCACAUUCUUGACCCUCACCCACACUGCGUCUAAAGCCACGGCCAUCGUGAGCUACUGUCC